rnacentral:rRNA from 1 species
AAAUGAAUAGACGGGGGCCCGCACAAGCAGUGGAGUAUGUGGUUUAAUUCGAAGCAACGCGAAGAACCUUACCAGGUCUUGACAUCUAUCGAAACCCUAAGAGAUUAGGGCGUGCCCUUCGGGGAACGGUAAGACAGGUGGUGCAUGGUUGUCGUCAGCUCGUGUCGUGAGAUGUUGGGUUAAGUCCCGCAACGAGCGCAACCCUUACUGUUAGUUGCUACGCAAGAGCACUCUAGCAGGACUGCCGUUGACAAAACGGAGGAAGGUGGGGACGACGUCAAAUCAUCAUGCCCCUUAUGACCUGGGCUACACACGUACUACAAUGGUCGUUAACAGAGAGAAGCAAGCCCGCGAGGUGGAGCAAAACUCUAAAAACGGUCUCAGUUCGGAUUGUAGGCUGAAACUCGCCUACAUGAAGAUGGAAUUGCUAGUAAUCGCGGAUCAGAAUGCCGCGGUGAAUACGUUCCCGGGCCUUGUACACACCGCCCGU